AGCGAACGCUGGCGGCAGGCCUAACACAUGCAAGUCGAACGAACCUUUCGGGGUUAGUGGCGGACGGGGGAGUAACACGUGGGAACGUGCCUUUAUGGUCGGAAUAACUCAGGGAAACUUGUGCUAAUACCGAAUGUGCCCUUCGGGGGAAAGAUUAAUCGCCUUUAGAGCGGCCCGCGUCUGAUUAGCUAGUUGGUUGAGGUAAUGGCUCACCAAGGCGACGAUCAGUAGCUGGUCUGAGAGGAUGAUCAGCCACAUUGGGACUGAGACACGGCCCAAACUCCUACGGGAGGCAGCAGUGGGGAAUCUUGCGCAAUGGGCGAAAGCCUGACGCAGCCAUGCCGCGUGAAUGAUGAAGGUCUUAGGAUUGUAAAAUUCUUUCACCGGGGACGAUAAUGACGGUACCCGGAGAAGAAGCCCCGGCUAACUUCGUG
rnacentral:rRNA from 1 species